UUUUCGGUCCAACAAACGGUCGUAUGCAACCCACAUUUUCCGAUUAGGAAAUGUCAAAGUCAAAUGUUAUGUCAACAACACUGUCAAAGUUAUUUGUUUAUAUUGGUUAUAAAGACCCCAAAAUAAUAAUAAUUAGCGUAACUGAGAUGUGGUAUAAUAAAAAGUGUGUGGAUUCUCGCAAUGGAUAAAGUGAGGAUCACAAAAUUCGAGCCUGGAACGGCAUAUUCUACCAAAGAACAAACGAUCAUUUUGAACGUGUUUAAAUACCUUUGUGCCCAAAAUCUGGACAAAACGGCUAGUGAAAUUGCGGAACUCACUUCUAAAGCUACAGGGUGCAGUGUUGAAAAUGUUGUGCAAUUUCGUGAGGAGGAAGCUAUGAGACACGGUUUCAGAGCGUGUACUAGUGGCAGAAAUGUGGGGUAUUGGUAUGACGAAACAGUGAAAGAAGCCAUAAGAAAAAUUAUUUUUGUACUGAAAACCAAAAAUAAUCAUAGAAUUUCAGCAAAGAUGAUUUUAAAAUUACUAGAAGUAAAUCCGUAUUUCCCAAAGCUUUCUUUAAACGCUUUGAAAAUUGCACUGGCGGAUAUGGGUUAUGUGCAUGAUGGUUCUGUGUAUGUGCACAGUGAUGAUCUGCCAACACCUGGUCGUGUAAAACGGAAGCGAGUUAACCGUAUUAAGCCUCAAAUUGAAUCAGAAAGUGACGAUAACACGAAAACUGACGGUAUGGAAAAUGGGGCUGUGGAUGAGAACAGUGCAACAUCUCCUGUAUUGAAAAAGAAACGGCGGUCGAAACGGGUUGAACGUAUCUAUCCUCAAACUGAAGCACAAAAUGAUAAUAAUAAAAUUGAAAUUAUGGAAAAUGUUCCAAAUGAGACGGUUGGAGGUUUUGUGCAUGUGGACAGUGGUGAUCCGCUUGCAGUAUCUCCUCCUGUGGUAAAAAAGAAACGGCGGUCGAAGCGGCUUGAACGUAUUUAUUCUCAAAUUGAAUCACAAAGUGCCAGUACGGAAAAUGGUAUAGACGUUCCAAAUGAGACUGAUACACCAUUAGAAAGUGAAAUAAAGAUUGAAGAAUCAAUCUUGGACGAAAACUGUAUUUAUGAAACUGAAGACGUGGCUAUAAAGACAGAAUUAGAAAUUAAAACUGAAGAUUCCCCCAGAGAGAGUUGAGUGUUUUGAUAGGUUUUUACAGUCAAUUUCAAAAUUGUAUGUAAAUUAUAGAUUUGUUAUGAUAUUUUGUAAUGUUUUAUACAGAAAUAAACACAAAUAUUGAUGAUUUGUCUUUUUAUUUGAUAUUUCGUAAAUUUUUCUUCGUUAUGCAACCAAGUAUACAACUGUCGAAUUCGGACGGAUUAAGUUUCGGGUUGUUGGACUUUCCGAAUUUGAAACUAACACAUGUUGUCAACCGGUUUGUUCAUCACAACAAUCUAAAGAAAAAUGUGUAAAAUUCAAACCGUGUGUUUAUUAUUAUUGCCUUUUAAUUAAUAACAUGUGGAUUGUUCUUCUGAAUACGUGAUAGUGCGUGAAAAUGGCCCAACUCGAGAUCAAGAAAAUGAAACAGGGAAUGUCCUACUCCUGCAAAGAAAAGACAAUCAUUUUAAACGUGUUCAAAUAUUUCCGAAUCCAAUUCCCCGAUAAAUGUGUCACGGACAUCGUCCGCCGCACCGCAAAAGCCACCGGAUGUAGCGAAAAAAGCAUCUUCCAAUUCCGCAAAGAGGAGGCAAGUGCCGAGGGUUUCAAAGUGCCAUCAACCACAAAAAUCAGGCGAAACAUCAACAUAAACAGCCGAGACAUCAAAUACGACAACACGGUCCGACAAGCUAUCAGAAACAUAAUCUACGAAUUAAAAUACAAAAAUGUAGUGCCAUCACUUAACACGAUUUUGAAACACGUGAAUGGGGACCCCCAGUUACCGAACUUUUCGUUAAUGACGCUGCGAAGACUGCUGUUUGAUAUGGGGUUCUGUUACGAGAAAAACGGGAACAAGGCGGUGCUAGUUGAGAAAACACCGCCAGUCAAGAAGGACCCAAAGAAGGAGAAUUUGGGCAACAAUAAGGCCAAAAAAAUUGUGAAACCACCGCAACAGUACUGCCAGCCAGUUAACCCAAUACCUCAGAACCCGCCCCCGCAACCGCCCCCAAUCAACAACCACAUAAUGAUCCAAAUGCCCCAACAUGAUAAUCACAUGAUGCACCUACCGCACCAUAACAUGCCCAUGAUGCUCAACCACAGAAUGCCGCCCCCACACCCAAUGCCGCCCCCGAAUGUCAACUGGAUGCACCCAACCCACCAUGCCAUGAUGAAACAGGAGUAGGAAAAAUCAGGUCAAGAACAGUCUUAUAAAUAUUAAUGUCUCUGUGAUCAUCAAUGGUCUGAAGAAGUAUGUCUAGAGCUAUCAACGUCCCAGUCCUACCAACGCCAGCGCUGUGAACAUAAGUAUUAUUUUUAAUUCAUUUUAGCCCUUCUUAGUGCCAAAACUGGAGUUAUUCCGGUAUUUUUAUACAAUUUUUUACACAAUAAAACUUUCAUAAUUA